rnacentral:lncRNA from 1 species
AAAUAAAUAUAAGAAGACACACAAAAAAUGAAAGAUAUUACAUUCUUUUUUUUUCUUUCUUUCUUUUUUAUUUUCCUCUCUUUCUUUUUUCCCAGAGUCUAUGUAUGUGCACUGUUUUAUUAUACAAAAUUAGCUUUUUUGUGCGUUUCUGGUCAAUUUGCAGAAAAGGUAUGUAGUCCUUGAGUCUUUUUAAUAGAAAAAU